GGCAGGCAUGCGCGGGAGAAACCUCUGGUCGCUCUGGCAGCGGCAGCCCUUCGGGGUGGGAUCCUGAGGCCCGGGGCCUGCCCUAGU
rnacentral:ncRNA from 1 species